UGAGGAAUAUUGGUCAAUGGGCGAGAGCCUGAACCAGCCAAGUAGCGUGCAGGAUGACGGCCCUAUGGGUUGUAAACUGCUUUUAUAUGGGAAUAAAGUGAGGGACGUGUCCCUUAUUGCAUGUACUAUAUGAAUAAGGACCGGCUAAUUCCGUGCCAGCAGCCGCGGUAAUACGGAAGGUCCAGGCGUUAUCCGGAUUUAUUGGGUUUAAAGGGAGCGUAGGCUGUUUGUUAAGCGUGUUGUGAAAUGUAAGAGCUCAACUUUUAGAUUGCAGCGCGAACUGGCAGACUUGAGUGCGCACAACGUAGGCGGAAUUCAUGGUGUAGCGGUGAAAUGCUUAGAUAUCAUGACGAACUCCGAUUGCGAAGGCAGCUUACGGGAGCGCAACUGACGCUAAAGCUCGAAGGUGCGGGUAUCGAACAGG
rnacentral:rRNA from 1 species